rnacentral:rRNA from 1 species
GGUGGUGGUGCAUGGCCGUUCUUAGUUGGUGGAGUGAUUUGUCUGGUUAAUUCCGUUAACGAACGAGACCCCCGCCUGCUAAAUAGUGUGGCUUACGCUUUUGCGUAGGUGCUCGCUUCUUAGAGGGACUUCUGGUGACUAACCAGAGGAAGUUGGGGGCAAUAACAGGUCUGUGAUGCCCUUAGAUGUCCUGGGCCGCACGCGCGCUACACUGAUGCAUGCAACGAGUUUUAUUCUUCCUGGGUCGAGAGGCCCGGGUAAUCUGUUGAACGUGCAUCGUGAUAGGGAUAGAUCAUUGCAAUUAUUGAUCUUGAACGAGGAAUUCCUAGUAAACGCGAGUCAUCAGCUCGCAUUGAUUACGUCCCUGCCCUUUGUACACACCGCCCGUCGCACCUACCGAUUGAAUCAUUCGGUGAGGAUUCCGGAUUUUGUUGCUUACGCUUCACGGCGUUUUUGACGAAAGAAGUUAUCCAAACCUCAUGAUUAGAGGAAGGUGAAGUCGUAACAA